rnacentral:tRNA from 1 species
GCGAGAGUAGCCGAGUUGGCCAAAGGCGCAGGACUUAAGAUUCUGUCUUGUAGAAGUUCGAGGGUUCGAAUCCCUUCUCUCGCACCA